UUUUUAGGAGACUUGGUUGGAUGGCUGUCCUAGAAGAUGGCUUGGCGGACAAGCAGGUUGACGAAGCACUUGUGUGUAGCUGCCACUUCAACCCUCAAGAUCUUUUGCUUGGAGAAAGGGCUAGAACGUCACCACAUGCCGUACCGUCAAUAGCAGUCGUGGAAGGUCGUCGUGUAGCGCGGCGCUCCGCCAGCUGCUGUGCUGGGGUUGGCGGCGCUCAGCAGCUACCAGCUGAUGCAGCGCGCCGUGCUCGCUCGCCGCGGCGCAGUGUUUAUAGCGCGUGCGCCGGGCGCUGACGGCAGUCGUCUGGCAGCGACAGCUCUGCCGGUGACGGCACACGCUGCUGCUGCAGAAACUGGACAAGGGCCUGCUUGGGCUCCUGGUCCUGGAUCGGUACGCCGGCUCAGUCACCUGAUGACGGCGGCGCAAAGCGUGACCUACCCGCCCUACAGCCGGCCCAGCAGGCGGACGGAGAGGCCCGCCCGGGCCCAGUGCCGCACGGAGAGGCGGUGGCGCUUGAGGCCAACACCCCGGCUCGCGACCUGUAGCUGACGGUGCUGGAGCCGCGAGUCACCGUGUUGGCUGGCCAUGGAGACUUGGAAAAGGCCGGUGAGGUGCGUCUCCAGCUGCGCUGUCAGACGAUCCAGUGGAACGAGCAGCAGCCCAUGUACCCGUCCCGGCUGUGCCGGUGUGUCUCCCAGCUUGAGCGGCGCCGGCCGACCGCUGCGCUGCUCUACAACUGCCACGUCCACACACGAUGCACGGUGACGGCUGACCAGGCGGUGCUGGUCUCGACCGCGGCCGACGGCCAGCCCGCCCAGGAGCACCAGGUCGCCG